AUGAACGCUGACAGAAUGCUUAACACAUGCAAGUCUACUUGAACUUCGGUUUGGGUGGCGGACGGGUGAGUAACGCGUAAAGAACUUACCUCACAGUUAGGGACAACAUUUGGAAACGAAUGCUAAUACCUGAUAUUAUGAUUUUAGGGCAUCCUAAGAUUAUGAAAGCUAUAUGCGCUGUGAGAGAGCUUUGCGUCCCAUUAGCUAGUUGGAGAGGUAACGGCUCACCAAGGCGAUGAUGGGUAGCCGGCCUGAGAGGGUGAACGGCCACAAGGGGACUGAGACACGGCCCUUACUCCUACGGGAGGCAGCAGUGGGGAAUAUUGGACAAUGGACCAAAAGUCUGAUCCAGCAAUUCUGUGUGCACGAUGACGUUUUUCGGAAUGUAAAGUGCUUUCAGUUGGGAAGAAAAAAAUGACGGUACCAACAGAAGAAGUGACGGCUAAAUACGUG
rnacentral:rRNA from 1 species